rnacentral:rRNA from 1 species
GACGAACGCUGGCGGCGUGCUUAACACAUGCAAGUCGAACGCUGAAGCUCAGCUUUUGUUGGGUGGAUGAGUGGCGAACGGGUGAGUAACACGUGAGUAACCUGCCUCCUUCUUUGGGAUAACGCCCGGAAACGGGUGCUAAUACUGGAUAUUCACUGGUCUUCGCAUGGGGGUUGGUGGAAAGGGUUUUUCUGGUGGGGGAUGGGCUCGCGGCCUAUCAGCUUGUUGGUGGGGUGAUGGCCUACCAAGGCUUUGACGGGUAGCCGGCCUGAGAGGGUGACCGGUCACAGUGGGACGGAGAUGCGGCCCAGACUCCUACGGGAGGCAGCAGUGGGGAAUAUUGCACAAUGGGCGCAAGCCUGAUGCAGCGACGCCGCGUGAGGGAUGGAGGCCUUCGGGUUGUGAACCUCUUUCGCUCAUGGUCAAGCCGCAACAAUGGUUGUGGUGAGGGUAGUGGGUAAAGAAGCGCCGGCUAACUACGUG